AAUGAACGCUGGCGGCGUGCUUAACACAUGCAAGUCGAACGAGGCUGAGGGGGCAACUCCUCAGUUUAGUGGCGGACGGGUGAGUAACACGUGGGUAGCCUGCCCGGAAGUGGGGAAUACCUCGGGGAAACUCGAGCUAAUACCGCAUAACAUCUUUAGGACGAUGGUCCUGACGAUCAAAGCGGGGUCGCAAGAUCUCGCGCUACCGGAUGGGCCCGCGCCUGAUUAGCAGUUGGUGGGGUAACGGCUCACCAAGGCUUCGAUCAGUAACCGGCCUGAGAGGGCGAUCGGUCACACCGGAACUGAGACACGGUCCGGACUCCUACGGGAGGCAGCAGUGGGGAAUCUUGCGCAAUGGGCGAAAGCCUGACGCAGCAACGCCGCGUGGAGGAUGAAGUCCC
rnacentral:rRNA from 1 species